rnacentral:rRNA from 1 species
GCUAGUCGGCGGGGUAACGGCCCACCGAGGCGACGAUGCGUAGGGGUUCUGAGAGGAAGGUCCCCCACACUGGUACUGAGACACGGACCAGACUCCUACGGGAGGCAGCAGUGAGGAAUAUUGGUCAAUGGGCGCGAGCCUGAACCAGCCAAGUCGCGUGAGGGAUGACGGUCCUACGGAUUGUAAACCUCUUUUGCCGGGGAGCAAGCGUGCGUUCGUGAACGCGCGUCGAGAGUACCCGGAGAAAAAGCAUCGGCUAACUCCGUGCCAGCAGCCGCGGUAAUACGGAGGAUGCGAGCGUUAUCCGGAUUUAUUGGGUUUAAAGGGUGCGUAGGCGGGAUGCCAAGUCAGCGGUAAAAAUGCGGUGCUCAACGCCGUCGAGCCGUUGAAACUGGCGUUCUUGAGUGGGCGAGAAGUAUGCGGAAUGCGUGGUGUAGCGGUGAAAUGCAUAGAUAUCACGCAGAACUCCGAUUGCGAAGGCAGCAUACCGGCGCCCUACUGACGCUGAGGCACGAAAGCGUGGGUAUCGAACAGGAUUAGAUACCCUGGUAGUCCACGCAGUAAACGAUGAAUGCUAACUGUCCGGCUCGAAUGAGCGCUGG